rnacentral:ncRNA from 1 species
AGGAGCCGGAUGAUGGGAAACUAUCAAGUCCGGUUCCGUGGGAGGGAGAGAGGGCCGCGUCAACGACCGACCUCCU